CCUACGGGCGGCUGCAGUGGGGAAUAUUGGACAAUGGGCGCAAGCCUGAUCCAGCCAUGCCGCGUGGGUGAUGAAGGCCCUAGGGUUGUAAAGCCCUUUCGGCGGGGAAGAUAAUGACGGUACCCGCAGAAGAAGCCCCGGCUAACUUCGUGCCAGCAGCCGCGGUAAUACGAAGGGGGCUAGCGUUGCUCGGAAUCACUGGGCGUAAAGCGCACGUAGGCGGCUUCUUAAGUCAGGGGUGAAAUCCUGGAGCUCAACUCCAGAACUGCCUUUGA
rnacentral:rRNA from 1 species